GUGGGGAAUAUUCCGCAAUGGACGAAAGUCUGACGGAGCAACGCCGCGUGAGUGAUGAAGGUUUUCGGACUGUAAAGCUCUGUUGUUUAGGACGAAAGUGCCUGUUGCGAACAGUUACAGGUAUUGACGGUACUGAACGAGGAAGCCACGGCUAACUACGUGCCAGCAGCCGCGGUAAUACGUAGGUGGCAAGCGUUGUCCGGAAUUAUUGGGCGUAAAGAGCAUGUAGGCGGGAAUCUAAGUCUGUUGUGAAAAUGCGGGGCUCAACCCCGUAUUGCGAUGGAAACUGGGUUUCUUGAGUGCAGGAGAGGAAAGGGGAAUUCCCAGUGUAGCGGUGAAAUGCGUAGAUAUUGGGAGGAACACCAGUGGCGAAGGCGCCUUUCUGGACUGUGUCUGACGCUGAGAUGCGAAAGCCAGGGUAGCGAACGGGAUUAGAAACCCCUGUAGUCC
rnacentral:rRNA from 1 species